GCAUUGAUGGUCUAGUGGUUAUGAUUGCCGCCUUCCACUUAUCGGUGUUAGCGGCAGAGCGGGGUUCGAUUCCCCGUCAAUGCA